ACCGGGUGUGGUGGUGCACAUCUGUAGUCCCAGCUACUCGGGAGGCUGAGGUGGGAGGAUCGCUUGAACCUGGGAGACCGAGGCUGCAGUGAGCUAUGAUCACACCACACUGCACUCUCGCCCGGGCCACAGAGUGAGACCCUGUCUCAA
rfam:Gorilla gorilla gorilla genomic chromosome, chr2B, whole genome shotgun sequence